AAACCAACAGGGAUUGCCUUAGUAGCGGCGAGUGAAGCGGCAAAAGCUCAAAUUUGAAAUCUGGCUCUUUCAGAGUCCGAGUUGUAAUUUGAAGAAGGUAUCUUUGGGUCUGGCUCUUGUCUAUGUUUCUUGGAACAGAACGUCACAGAGGGUGAGAAUCCCGUGCGAUGAGAUGAUCCAGGCCUAUGUAAAGUUCCUUCGAAGAGUCGAGUUGUUUGGGAAUGCAGCUCUAAGUGGGUGGUAAAUUCCAUCUAAAGCUAAAUAUUGGCGAGAGACCGAUAGCGAACAAGUACAGUGAUGGAAAGAUGAAAAGAACUUUGAAAAGAGAGUGAAAAAGUACGUGAAAUUGUUGAAAGGGAAGGGCUUGAGAUCAGACUUGGUAUUUUGUAUGUUACUUCUUCGGGGGUGGCCUCUACAGUUUAUCGGGCCAGCAUCAGUUUGGGCGGUAGGAGAAUUGCGUUGGAAUGUGGCACGGCUUCGGUUGUGUGUUAUAGCCUUCGUCGAUACUGCCAGCCUAGACUGAGGACUGCGGUUUAUACCUAGGAUGUUGGCAUAAUGAUCUUAAGUCGCCCGUCUUG
rnacentral:rRNA from 1 species